UUUUAUGGAGAGUUUGAUCCUGGCUCAGGAUGAACGCUGGCGGCGUGCCUAAUACAUGCAAGUCGAGCGAACGGACGAGAAGCUUGCUUCUCUGAUGUUAGCGGCGGACGGGUGAGUAACACGUGGAUAACCUACCUAUAAGACUGGGAUAACUUCGGGAAACCGGAGCUAAUACCGGAUAAUAUUUUGAACCGCAUGGUUCAAAAGUAAAAGACGGUCUUGCUGUCACUUAUAGAUGGAUCCGCGCUGCAUUAGCUAGUUGGUAAGGUAACGGCUUACCAAGGCAACGAUGCAUAGCCGACCUGAGAGGGUGAUCGGCCACACUGGAACUGAGACACGGUCCAGACUCCUACGGGAGGCAGCAGUAGGGAAUCUUC
rnacentral:rRNA from 1 species